rnacentral:rRNA from 1 species
GCGAAUGGCUCAUUAAAUCAGUUAUCGUUUAUUUGAUAGUACCUUACUACUUGGAUAACCGUGGUAAUUCUAGAGCUAAUACAUGCUAAAAACCCCAACUUCGGGAGGGGUGUAUUUAUUAGAUAAAAAACCAACGCCCUUCGGGGCUUCUUGGUGAUUCAUGAUAACUUUACGGAUCGCAUGGCCUUGCGCCGGCGACGGUUCAUUCAAAUUUCUGCCCUAUCAACUUUCGAUGGUAAGGUAUUGGCUUACCAUGGUUUCAACGGGUAACGGGGAAUUAGGGUUCGAUUCCGGAGAGGGAGCCUGAGAAACGGCUACCACAUCCAAGGAAGGCAGCAGGCGCGCAAAUUACCCAAUCCCGACUCGGGGAGGUAGUGACAAUAAAUACUGAUACAGGGCUCUUUUGGGUCUUGUAAUUGGAAUGAGUACAAUUUAAACCUCUUAACGAGGAACAAUUGGAGGGCAAGUCUGGUGCCAGCAGCCGCGGUAAUUCCAGCUCCAAUAGCGUAUAUUAAAGUUGUUGCAGUUAAAAAGCUCGUAGUUGAAACUUGGGCCUGGCUGGCAGGUCCGCCUCACCGCGUGUACUUGUCCGGCCGGGCCUUCCUUCUGGAGAACCUCAUGCCCUUCACUGGGUGUGUUGGGGACCAGGACUUUUACUUUGAAAAAAUUAGAGUGUUCAAAGCAGGCCUUUGCUCGAAUACGUUAGCAUGGAAUAAUAAAAUAGGACGUGCGGUCCUAUUUUGUUGGUUUCUAGGACCGCCGUAAUGAUUAAUAGGGACAGUCGGGGGCAUCAGUAUUCAAUUGUCAGAGGUGAAAUUCUUGGAUUUAUUGAAGACUAACUACUGCGAAAGCAUUUGCCAAGGAUGUUUUCAUUAAUCAGUGAACGAAAGUUAGGGGAUCGAAGACGAUCAGAUACCGUCGUAGUCUUAACCGUAAACUAUGCCGACUAGGGAUCGGGCGAUGUUCUUUUUCUGACUCGCUC